rnacentral:rRNA from 1 species
UACGAAGGGGGCUAGCGUUGUUCGGAGUUACUGGGCGUAAAGGGCGCGUAGGCGGGUCUUUAAGUCAGGGGUGAAAUCCUGGAGCUCAACUCCAGAACUGCCUUUGAUACUGAAGAUCUUGAGUUCGGGAGAGGUGAGUGGAACUGCGAGUGUAGAGGUGAAAUUCGUAGAUAUUCGCAAGAACACCAGUGGCGAAGGCGGCUCACUGGCCCGAUACUGACGCUGAGGCACGAAAGCGUGGGGAGCAAACAGG